AACAUACAGGGAAGACCCUCUCUGGGGGAGCCAAAAGGGUCAGGCUCCGAAACAAAUAGGGAAUAUUUAUAACCGCUAGCCGCAUAAUUCGAGAUUUAAUUACUUUUACCCUUGUCAGUUUUUGUGCAGUAAAUGAGAAUGACCUCAAAUCAUUUCUCUCUCCAUCCCUCUUUCCAUGCAGGUCCAUUGUCACUAAUAUGUGGUGUUGAAGUUUGUCUCUGCUCAGCUGACAGACAGGAGAUACAGGAAUCCAUUCUGUUCCAAAUUAUGCUGAUGCCCCAUUGUAAGAACCUGGAGAUCUUCACUGGUUCUGAGGGAGGUGAUGUUGCUACAAACAAUGCUUGGGACAGCUUCCAGCCCUACUGUUAUCUGGAGAACAGCCAGAGAGUGAUCAAGACAUCUGCCACAACUCCAUCUUUAGUGUGUCAGCUCUGCUGCACCUGGGCACUAAAGAUUGAUCUGGCUUGCUGAUAACAUCUGAUCUGAUGAGACUCCCGAUGUGAUUUGACUCCUGUAUUAAUGACUUCAAUAAAACUUCCAAUGCCAAAUUGA